rnacentral:rRNA from 1 species
AUUGAACGCUGGCGGCAUGCCUUACACAUGCAAGUCGAACGGCAGCACGGGAGCAAUCCUGGUGGCGAGUGGCGAACGGGUGAGUAAUAUAUCGGAACGUGCCCAGUCGUGGGGGAUAACGCAGCGAAAGCUGUGCUAAUACCGCAUACGAUCUAUGGAUGAAAGCGGGGGAUCGCAAGACCUCGCGCGAUUGGAGCGGCCGAUAUCAGAUUAGGUAGUUGGUGGGGUAAAGGCUCACCAAGCCGACGAUCUGUAGCUGGUCUGAGAGGGCGAUCAGCCACACUGGGACUGAGACACGGCCCAGACUCCUACGGGAGGCAGCAGUGGGGAAUUUUGGACAAUGGCGGCAACCCUGAUCCAGCCAUGCCGCGUGAGUGAAGAAGGCCUUCGGGUUGUAAAGCUCUUUCGGCCGGGAAGAAAUCGCACAGGCUAAUACUCUGUGUGGAUGACGGUACCGGCAUAAGAAGCACCGGCUAACUACGUGCCAGCCGCCGCAGUAAUAC